rnacentral:rRNA from 1 species
CAGGUCGACGAUUAGAGUUUGAUCCUGGCUCAGAUUGAACGCUGGCGGCAGGCCUAACACAUGCAAGUCGAGCGGAUGAAGAGAGCUUGCUCUCUGAUUUAGCGGCGGACGGGUGAGUAAUGCCUAGGAAUCUGCCUGGUAGUGGGGGAUAACGUUCCGAAAGGAACGCUAAUACCGCGUACGUCCUACGGGAGAAAGCAGGGGACCUUCGGGCCUUGCGCUAUCAGAUGAGCCUAGGUCGGAUUAGCUAGUUGGUGAGGUAAUGGCUCACCAAGGCGACGAUCCGUAACUGGUCUGAGAGGAUGAUCAGUCACACUGGAACUGAGACACGGUCCAGACUCCUACGGGAGGCAGCAGUGGGGAAUAUUGGACAAUGGGCGAAAGCCUGAUCCAGCCAUGCCGCGUGUGUGAAGAAGGUCUUCGGAUUGUAAAGCACUUUAAGUUGGGAGGAAGGGCAGUAAGUUAAUACCUUGCUGUUUUGACGUUACCGACAGAAUAAGCACCGGCUAACUUCGUGCCAGCAGCCGCGGUAAUACGAAGGGUGCAAGCGUUAAUCGGAAUUACUGGGCGUAAAGCGCGCGCAGGUGGUUCGUUAAGUUGGAUGUGAAAGCCCCGGGCUCAACCUGGGAACUGCAUCCAAAACUGGCGAGCUAGAGUACGGUAGAGGGUGGUGGAAUUUCCUGUGUAGCGGUGAAAUGCGUAGAUAUAGGAAGGAACACCAGUGGCGAAGGCGACCACCUGAUACUGACACUGAGGUGCGAAAGCGUGGGGAGCAAACAGGAUUAGAUAC